GCGUCGGUGACAAUUGCAUCCAACCCGCCUCACAAGCUCUUCGUUCUCUUCAAGACUGAUCUCUGCAAAUAGGAAUACCUCCAGUCUCUCUCCAUCAGGAGCCGCUGCUGGUUUUAUAUAUGCAUAUGCGUCAACGGGUGCUAAUUUUGCAGCAUCAAAGGUUUGAAUAUUUCUUCUCAAGUUCCUGUUGAAUUCAGCAAUGGACAGCAAUUCGUAUCGUACGCUAGCGCUCUGCCGGAAAUCGAGCUCUGAGAACGAAGUAGCGAAAUCACUGAAGAAACAAUAACUCUGUUAAACUUCCUGAUAAUAGCGAAGUAUCGAUACUUUUGCGCUCAGAUAUGGAUGAUAAAAGAAUCCAAAGAACGGUCCUUCAAUGCCAUCCACUCAAGACGUUGUGUCACAUAUUCGGCAGCAACUUUGGUGAGCUUCCAAUUGGUGCCGUUUGUGUUGCAGAUGUUCAAUACAAAGGAAGAGGUCGGUCGAAGAAUGUGUAGGAAUCUCCUUAGGCUGCCUUCUAUUUUCUCUUACAGUGCAAAUAGAGGAUGGAUGAACGGUGUCUAUGCUCUCUUGCAGUCACAGAGACAAUAAAAGAUGUGUGACAUAAAUGCUAAGAGAAUUGUGUGCUGCUGCUUAUCAAUUGAGAAGAGAAGAUUUACUUGCAGCAUUUUUUAACAAAUUUGAGAACUUUUAUGACCUUUUUCAUAUAGCAAGUUUUGAUUUCUUCAAAGGACUAGUCAGAAGGAAAAUUCAACGAAGAUCCUUGUCAUUCUACCUUUUCCCAGUGGAUACAGUCAUGAAGUUACAAAAUGGUUGCUAUUAUGGAUGCCGGUACUUAAUCAAUUUAUUGAAUUAUAUAGACUAGUAGAAUGACAUUAGAGCUGUUUGAUUAUCCACGGGAAUGGUCUUUGAGCUGUUUGAUUCCUUUUACAGUUCUAGCAAGCUCGUAUUGUAGUUCAAGAUAUUCUCAUUUUGAUGCAAAUAUGGAUUGUACUGCCUCUUACCAAUGUUGCUUGAAAGAGACAUGCAGGAUGAAGAUUCUUUUUUCCAAGUAGAUGAAUGGUUGAUAUCUUGGGGGACCAGUUCAGUCCAACAAUCCGACAUUGGUAUGUCCUAUGAUAUGUUGUUAUUUGUCUCCUUCUUCCUUUUCCUCUACAUAUCUGUCUCUAUUUUUCUUAAGAAUGGAAGGAUACUAUCACCCCCACACAUGUAGACUGACAAAGGUUUUGGUGCAACUGAUAUUUAGUUGUAGUUGGGGUCCAUGAUGCAGUGACACUGUCUCCUACGGAAUUGUGGAAUUAUAUUGAGGUUUAAGUUUUUCCUCAAGAGGGCUACAAAGAGCAUGUGAGUGAAAACCCAUACUUUCUUUUUUGUCUGUGUCGUGUAUGAAAUCUUGGAUGGUCUAUGUCUUAAGUUUAUGGUCCCCCAAAACAUAAUUAAACCCCCUCCCCCAAAAUUAUUUUUAAUUUCAUGUCCAAGACUUGUUCAAACAUUUGUAGUAAAAUUGUAAUAGCCCGUUGCUCUAUAUUAGUAACACUUUGUCCGUUUUGUGAAUAGUCCAUACUGGCUCGUACGGCUUUGUCUUCUCA